rnacentral:lncRNA from 1 species
GUGACGUCACGGGCCACCCGCCAGCCCCGCGCUCUACCAGGCAGAGCGCGUGUGGCCGCCGAGCACAUGGACCCACUGGUCAAGCGGGCUCGGCAAGGCCAGGAUGAAGAGAAGCUACGAACUUAGCAUUCCCAGAGCCCCCCGAGUGGAUAUCCGCGUGGAAAGGAUGUUGGCAGCCCCGGUGACCUCGGAGUCACGGCUGGAUCCACCCUCUUGUCUGAUUUUCUUAACUCUACUACGGUAAGAAGAUGCCCUCCAUCAGCAGGCCGUGUCUGCUGGGACCUCUCUGGAGACUUCCUGAACCCUGUGGAUUUACAGUAAGAUGCAGUUUCCUGGGGAGUAAUUCUGGUGGAUACAAAUUCCGGAGUAUUACACCUGGCUUGCCUGGAGAUGUUACAAGUAGCUGGAUGGAUUCUUCAGCCUGGAUGCCCACUGAAAACAAGGACCGAAACUAAGAGGAUUGUAUCUCUACCCUUGACUCAAUGAGAAUGUUUGUUGUCAUCUCUCGGGCUACCUGGAGCUCCCUCUAAAAUUAUACCCUUUAAGCGUUCCAGAAGGAUUUUGAGAUCCUUUCCUAAAUCAAAGGUGGAAUAUUUGGGGAUUUGGAAAAUUGAGCCAGUCUCUCAGAAGAACCAGUUGUGUUACUUUGCUGUGAGAUGCCUGCCCUAAGAGAGGAGCAGAAGGUCGGAACGGGUCCUCUAAUGUGAUAAUUAGAUGUGAAGCGUUGACUUAAGAGAUGCCAAGUAACUCAGCAGAUGUCACACAGACGAUAAAUAGCAAAGAUGGAAGUCUUCAUGCCGGAGGCAAUCCUAUAAGACAGCUGAGUUCUGCAGAGCUGGUAGGAGACAGACUUGCUCAGGUGAUAGAUCCAGCCAUGAUACUGACCCUAAGAGAAUGAGACGCUCUGCAGAAGACAGAAGAUUCCUGAAACUGGGAAAGGUGCCUAGAAAUCCUGAUAAGAGUGAAGAAGGGUACCUGGAGGCACAGCAGCCAUGUUGAACCUAUGAGGUGAUGAAAAACCAUGCAACUAGAAACCAGAAUGGAAGAAAAGAAGAAGCUGGAUCCUUGACUGAAUUGUCGAUGGGGGAUAGUCCAUCAUCCCAGGGCUAAGACCACCUCCAGAUUUCUUGUUUGGUGAAACAAGUCCUGAUUGUUUACAUUCCCUCGUGUUGAGCUGUCUCUUGCUUGUAGCUGAAAGCAUUUCUAAUAGAUAUUCAGAUUAUCAGCCUUAGCUCCAAGCUAGAAUACUCUAUGGGACCUUAGCUUCUCCAUGAAUUCCUUUGCUCAUCUGUGUAAUGCUCAAUAAAUGUAAAUUGAACCCUGAAUGAGGGACAAUGACACUAUUGAAGUCAUGAUUGUCAAUCUUAUUAACGGACUAACUACUUAACAAAAAGGUUGGAACACUGCCUGACGCACAGUAAGCGGCUGGGGAAAGGGUUUGCCAAAUGGAGUGACAAGAAAACAGUCAUGUUUAUAGGCUUUCUUUUACAUCUUGAUCCAUCUUCAAGCCUCUGUGGUCUUUAAGCAGAACCUUGACCCCUUCAGUACUGGGGCUCCUGGAGCAUGACACGCCCCCUAAACUCUUGUCUCAAAACACCCACUCUAGCAGUUUCUUUUUGACAAAAAAAAAGCCUUCUUAGUGAAUGCUGGCUUGUGAAAAAGAAGGGGCUGUGAUCAUCAAAUCGUGUUAGUAGAUGACCAAAAUACCCAAAGCAAUUCAUGCAAAUAGAUUCAAGUCUCUCUGGGCAAGCCUUCCUGAAGGCUCUAGAAUUUCUGAAGCUCAUUUUUGAAAGGGUCUUUCCAUAUGGUGGCCUUUUUCUUUUUUGCACCUCCUCCCUUCUUUCUCAUCAGAGCUAAAGGGAUGCUCAGACUCUCUGUCCUUUCUGUGUAGUGAGGGACCAGGCUGCUGGGCGAGUGUGAAGGAGCGAGUGUGAUUUGGGAUAUUCUUUUCUGGUAUGGCAAUGGCCAGCCUUUAGAGAGGUCAUUUGAAGUUGGCCAACAAGUAGACAUUAUUUCAAAAUAGUUCUUGAUCAUUAAAGAACCAACCAGUAUGUCUUAAAAACAAACAAACCAAUCUUUUGGAAAGUUUCUGCUGAAUGUGUGCCCUUCCGACUCACUUCUUAUCCUUUCUGUCAGAAACACCCCAGAAAAGGGGGUCUUGCCUUUGAACCACUCUGCUACUUUAAUCUUCCUGCUUCUGUCUGACCUACCUUCCUUCUUUCAGUAGCCAGGAUCCUUUCAGAGUGAGCUCCAAAAGGUGGGGAUUCUCCAGCCACGAGUGCCCUCUGAAAUUCUAUCUUACUUAGAAUAAAAUAUCUAGAUUUAUACAGUGUCCCCUUGUAUGGGUGGUGGCUUUUUUUUUUUUUCUAUCAUUUUCCUGCUUGUUCACACCACUCUCUCCCUGGCCUUCUUAUGUCACAGAUUUCCUGAGUACACUCUGGCCUCAGUCUUUCCAUGAAGUAACUCUCCUUUCUAGAACAUUCUUGCCUGCAUAACUAUCUGCUUCUGUCCUCACUGUAUUCUGAUCUGUAUUUCUAUGUCAAUUUCCAGACAGGCAUUCUCUGCCCAUCCUCUAAAGUGUGCCCCCUGUCUUCUUUGCUGUUACCUGUAUGCCCUAAGUCUAAGUCACUGACCUUAUUGUAGACUAAAUUUGUUAGCAUUUCUUUCCAGGAUGCAAGCCUAGUGAUGAAGGAGUCAUUGUUCCAUUGUCAGAAUAGCUACAGAAUCCAGCCUGUUCUGCCCUGGAUGCUUUAUUAAGUAAUGAAGCUCAAUAAAACAAUUUGACCAA